rnacentral:misc_RNA from 1 species
GAUGAAGAACGUAGCGAAAUGCGAUACUUGGUGUGAAUUGCAGAAUCCCGUGAACCAUCGAGUCUUUGAACGCAAGUUGCGCCCGAAGCCAUUAGGCCGAGGGCACGCCUGCCUGGGCGUCACACGUCGUUGCCCCCCCAUCUACUCCUUCGGGAUUGCGGGGGGCGGAUGAUGGCCUCCCGUGCGCCUCGUCGCGCGGUUGGCAUAAAUGCCAAGUCCUCGGCGACACACGCCACGACAAUCGGUGGUUGCGAAACCUCGGUUGCCCGUCGUGUGCGGUCGUCGCGCAUCGAGGGCUCGAAAAAAUUGCCGGGCUCCGGCUCGGCUUUCAACGCGACCCCAGGUCAGGCGGGGUUACCCGCUGAAUUUAAGCAUAUCAAUAAGCGGAG